GGUAAAUCAACAAAGCUACUAUCCUCUAUGAUAGAUGGU
rnacentral:guide_RNA from 1 species